AGAGUUGAUCAUGGCUCAGAACGAACGCUGGCGGCAUGGAUUAGGCAUGCAAGUCGAACGGGAGCAGCAAUGCUCCAGUGGCGCAAGGGUGAGGAACACGUGAACAACCUGCCUUCGAGUUGGGAUAGCUUCUGGAAACGGGAGAUAAUACCGAAUAACAUCUUCGGACCGCAUGAUCUGGAGAUCAAAGCAGCAAUGCGCUUGAAGAGGGGUUCGCGUCCCAUUAGCUAGUUGGUGAGGUAACGGCCCACCAAGGCGAUGAUGGGUAGCUGGUCUGAGAGGACGAUCAGCCACAUUGGGACUGAGAUACUGCCCAGACUCCUACGGGAGGCUGCAGUCGAGAAUUUUGGGCAAUGGACGAAAGUCUGAACCCCCAGCAAUGCCGCGUGCGGGAUGAAGGUCUUCGGAUUGUAAACCGCUGUCAAGAGGGACGAAAUUUGACGGUACCUCUGGAGGAAGCCACGGCUAACUACGUGCCAGCCGCCGC
rnacentral:rRNA from 1 species